UACGGGGGGGCAAGCGUUGUUCGGAAUUACUGGGCGUAAAGGGUGCGUAGGCGGCUUUCUAAGUUGGAUGUGAAAACUAUGGGCUCAACCCAUAGCCUGCAUCCAAAACUGGAGAGCUUGGGUUCUGGAGGGGAAAGCGGAAUUCCUGGUGUAGCGGUGAAAUGCGUAGAUAUCAGGAGGAACACCAAUUGCGAAGGCAGCUCGCUGGGACGUUACUGACGCUGAGACGCGAAAGCGUGGGGAGCAAACAGG
rnacentral:rRNA from 1 species